rnacentral:rRNA from 1 species
GACGAACGCUGGCGGCGUGCUUAACACAUGCAAGUCGAACGGAAAGGCCCUACUUGCAGGGUACUCGAGUGGCGAACGGGUGAGUAACACGUGGGUGAUCUGCCCUGCACUUCGGGAUAAGCCUGGGAAACUGGGUCUAAUACCGGAUAGGAGCCAUUUUUAGUGUGAUGGUUGGAAAGUUUUUUCGGUGUAGGAUGAGCUCGCGGCCUAUCAGCUUGUUGGUGGGGUAAUGGCCUACCAAGGCGGCGACGGGUAGCCGGCCUGAGAGGGUGGACGGCCACAUUGGGACUGAGAUACGGCCCAGACUCCUACGGGAGGCAGCAGUGGGGAAUAUUGCACAAUGGGCGCAAGCCUGAUGCAGCGACGCCGCGUGGGGGAUGACGGCCUUCGGGUUGUAAACUCCUUUCGCUAGGGACGAAGCUUUUUGUGACGGUACCUAGAUAAGAAGCACCGGCUAACUACGUG